rnacentral:rRNA from 1 species
GAGUUUGAUCAUGGCUCAGAACGAACGCUGGCGGCAGGCUUAACACAUGCAAGUCGAACGCGUGUAGCAAUACACGAGUGGCGCACGGGUGAGUAACGCGUGGAUAUCUGCCUUUUGGUUCGGAAUAACCCCGGGAACUGGGGCUAAUACCGGAUGGUUCCUACGGGAUAAAGAUUUAUCGCCAAAAGAUGAGUCCGCGUACGAUUAGCUAGUUGGUGAGGUAAUGGCUCACCAAGGCGACGAUCGUUAGCUGGUCUGAGAGGACGAUCAGCCACACUGGGACUGAGACACGGCCCAGACUCCUACGGGAGGCAGCAGUGGGGAAUAUUGGACAAUGGGGGCAACCCUGAUCCAGCCAUGCCGCGUGAGUGAUGAAGGCCUUCGGGUUGUAAAGCUCUUUUGGCGGGACGAUGAUGACGGUACCCGCAGAAUAAGCCCCGGCUAACUUCGUGCCAGCAGCCGCCGUAA